AGCGAACGCUGGCGGCAGGCCUAACACAUGCAAGUCGAACGGAUCCUUCGGGAUUAGUGGCGGACGGGUGAGUAACACGUGGGAACGUGCCCUUUGGUUCGGAACAACUCAAGGAAACUUGAGCUAAUACCGGAUGUGCCCUUCGGGGGAAAGAUUUAUCGCCAUUGGAGCGGCCCGCGUCUGAUUAGCUAGUUGGUGAGGUAACGGCCCACCAAGGCGACGAUCAGUAGCUGGUCUGAGAGGAUGAUCAGCCACACUGGGACUGAGACACGGCCCAGACUCCUACGGGAGGCAGCAGUGGGGAAUCUUGCGCAAUGGGCGAAAGCCUGACGCAGCCAUGCCGCGUGAAUGACGAAGGUCUUAGGAUUGUAAAAUUCUUUCAGCGGGGACGAUAAUGACGGUACCCGCAGAAGAAGCUCCGGCUAACUUCGUG
rnacentral:rRNA from 1 species